CAACAGGACACCUGAUGGGGUUUUAUAUUGCCACCAACAGGACACCUGAUGGGGUUUUAUAUUGCCACCAACAGGACACCUGAUGGGGUUUUAUAUUGCCACCAACAGGACACCUGAUGGGGUUUUAUAUUGCCACCAACAGGACACCUGAUGGGGUUUUAUAUUGCCACCAACAGGACACCGGAUGGGGUUUUAUAUUGCCACCAACAGGACACCGGAUGGGGUUUUAUAUGGCCACCAACAGGACACCUGAUGGGGUUUUAUAUGGCCACCAACAGGACACCUGAUGGGGUUUUAUAUUGCCACCAACAGGACACCUGAUGGGGUUUUAUAUUGCCACCAACAGGACACCUGAUGGGGUUUUAUAUUGCCACCAACAGGACACCUGAUGGGGUUUUAUAUUGCCACCAACAGGACACCUGAUGGGGUUUUAUAUUGCCACCAACAGGACACCUGAUGGGGUUUUAUAUUGCCACCAACAGGACAGCUGAUGGGGUUUUAUAUUGCCACCAACAGGACACCUGAUGGGGUUUUAUAUUGCCACCAACAGGACACCUGAUGGGGUUUUAUAUUGCCACCAACAGGACACCUGAUGGGGUUUUAUAUUGCCACCAACAGGACAGCUGAUGGGGUUUUAUAUUGCCACCAACAGGACACCUGAUGGGGGUUUAUAUUGCCACCAACAGGACACCUGAUGGGGUUUUAUAUUGCCACCAACAGGACACCUGAUGGAGUUUUAUAUUGCCACCAACAGGACACCUGAUGGGGUUUUAUAUUGGUUGAGAUCACCUGAUAAGGGUUUAUAUUGCCACCAACAGGACACCUGAGCUUCUCUGGUGUAAAUGCAUCAUUAUCAAUGAAGACAUGGCACAAAAUGGGUAAUUAUUAAUGUAAAGUACCAUGGCUUUUUUUAAUUACAAUGUGUAUUUUGUUGUACAUAUUUUCUGCUUGAAUGGUACUGCAGAGCAAACCAAGCGGCUUUGUUUCUCAUUGUCACUCUUUAACUGAAAAGUCAUUUUUUACAGUUUGUCCCUUCAAAAUAAACAUUUCAUUUCUUAAA